CGAAUUACAAAUCAACGGUCGAAAUCGUCCGUAAAUCUCUCCGGAUAAUCGGGGGUCGGAUCAGAAAAUCGGAAGUAGAGAUCGUCAUCAGUGCAUCGUUUCGAGUUCGAUGGUGUAUUCGGAUCGUCGAUCGGACUCCGACAGCUAGAGGCGAAUCGAUCGUGCGAUCAAGUAUCUCGAUAAUCCGUCUGUUCGGCUCGCUCCAAUCGAGGCACAGGAACAAAUCUAGGAGGUCACCAAAGCUAUCCGUGACUGCUAGUCUUUCCGUUACUCUUAUCUAGUAACCCGACUCCUUCAUCAUCGGGUGAUGUAUUUGAUUUGGUAUGUAAAUUUAUAAAUUCUUAGAUUCUCCGCAGUAGAAAUUAUAGAUAUAUCAGUUGAAAUUUUCUGUAGUUUCGGGUCUCGUCUAAUUCUUCUGGCAAACCGAAUUAAUUGUAUAAAUUUAAUGGUUACGAAAUUAUGGGAUCAAUAAUAUUAAAUAAGAUGAAAUUUAUUUAA